UCACCUUCCUCUUUCUAUUCUAUUAUUCCUUGCUGCAGCAGCACCACUUCCAACAAUUACAGCACCACCAACUAUCACUUGGAAGACGGCAGAUGAGGGAGAAACCGGAGAGUAAGAGGAGCGAACGCCGCCAGAUGAAUCAACCGCGAGAGCAGCCUUAACAAGCUGCCGUUGGAUCUCGAAAGUAGAGGCGGCGGAGGCCUCGAUGCGAAGUCUUCGCUUACAACAACGGCGUCCAGCGGCGGCCUCUUCGGCGGAGAAAAAAAAAAGCGAAGGACCGUGCGGUGAUGGAAAUGGGAGGUACGGUGGAUGAACGGAUAGAGCGGAGGAGAAGACGUCGUAACAACAUGUUUUUGGGUGAUGGAUGAAUGAAAGUGAAUUAUUUGCAUUUUCUAUGAAAUUGAUGCAUCCUGUCUCAGUUCUCAU